UAAGAUGAAAUUACAGUGUAAUCUGACUAGGGAGGUGCUGUUUCUACAGGAAGAGAGUGAUUACACACCUAAAGAGCCUAAAUGUCUAACUAACAUAAACCAGCAGACUAUGUGGAUUCUGAGGAUAUUAUGCCCUGUGGAGGGUGAAACAUUAGUUAAAGAAAAGCUUAUCUACAAAUAUUUAUGGAUAUAGGAGCAUCGCCUCAUGAUACAAAACUUAACACCUUGGGUUGGUAAGGAUCCUGGGAGAGAUAGUCAUAGGUCCAGGAAGUUCCGCACGCUCUUAGAAACUUGGAGAAAAGACAAAUGAAGUAGGGAUGCCAGAAAUACCACAGAAGAUGGUUGAAAAGCUGAUCAAAUGGCACAGAGCCAUGGGCAUGUUAGCAUGUAUAGAGUAUAUAAAGCCAGGAGCCUGUGAAGGAGGGACUGGAGGACAUCCCAUUUACCAAAGCUAUGAAGAAUAUCUCAGUUAAAGAGGAACCAGCAUUACUGAGAAGCAGAGUAAUGAUGGGGAAUUCUAUUCACCAAUCUCGGCUUUCUGGUAGUAUAGGGGGCAAUUAUCUCAUGUACAUCCAUGGUUACUGAGGGGGUAGGGAGUGGUAUCUUACGACCAGCUCACCAAGGAGGAAAAAGGACACAUUUUCCCACUGAUAUCUUGGUAUGCAAGUAUAAGCCAAAAGUAGACUAUUGGUGUACUAUAGCUCCAGCCAGAGGUGGCCAUGAAAGAUAGCAAUGAGUGUCCUUAUAAGAAGAGCUGCUGGUGACAUACUUGGUGAUUCACUUUGUGAAGGCCUAUUGCCUCAUGAUAGGAAUAUGUAUGGAAUCUUUGAGCAAUGUAAAGUGGCUAUAUUAGUUGUCCAGAUGCCUGGAAGAAGAGUUGGAAGAUAGAAACAAAGUGUUCCUAGUAGAUCCCAGGAAAAAUACCAACAAGAGUAGUUGGAGGAACUGGAGGAACUAUUCUCAUAUGGGGUGAACUCAGGAUAUAAAGAAAGUAUUCAAACAGGCAAACAAGUGGACUGUAGUGCACGCUGAGCUCCAACCACCCAGCUCUCCCUUAAGGACUAUGAUGCUGUUUUCCCCAAUCUUCCUGAAUUGUUGGUGGCUGAUGGCUAGUAGUUGCGAAUUUCUGUUUGCUGCAGGGUGAUGCUUUGCCCAAAUAUAGGACCAGCCGAAGCCUCUGUUGCAACUGCAUUCCAGUUUAACAUGGCCCUCUAUUCAGUCUGCUUUCCUCCACCCUUUUAUAAAUAGCAUUUUCAAGAGUACAUCCUAAUAUAAUCCUCUAGUACAUAAAUCUCACAGAUUAUAACUUAAUAUGUGUGAUAGACAGGAUAAUGACGCUACUACAAAAUAUUCUACAUCCUAAUCCCCAGAACCGACGAAAAUGUUAUAUGGCAAAAGAGACUUUGCUGAUGUGAUGAAGUUAAUAAUCUUGAAACGGGAAGAUUAUCCUGGAUUAAUCUGGGUGAACUGAAUGUAAUCACAAAGACCCUUAGAAGAGGGAAGUGGGAAGGCUGAAGGCAAAAGGAGUUGGGACAAUGGACAUAGAGGUCAAGGCGAUGUGCUUCCCAGAUGGGGAAAGGGCCAUAGCCAAGGGACACAAGGAUACAGAUGAGUAAACAGAUUCUCCCCUGAAAUUCCAGAAAGAAAACAGCCCUCCUCAAAUUUGAUUUUAGACUUCUGACCUCCAGAUAUUUAAUACAUUUGUGCUAUACUAAGCAACUAAAUUCAUAGCAAUUUAUUAGUAUAGCAAUAGGGAAUGAAUACAACACAGUAACACUUUAGCCUUUGUUUGCAAUUCAUUCACCAUGUCUAUAUUGGUUAAUUACAAUUAUAGCAAUUGUAUUUUCAAAUUAGAACACAUGAAAAUAUAAAUUAAGUGUAUUUUUCACGAGUGUAUGAGAUUCUUGAAAGAAAAAUCAAACCGCAGAAUAUAUAGGACAUUUUUCCAUUGCUUAUUACAUUCUAUGAUACUUUUUCAAAUGACUUUUAAGUGUUUCGCAUUAUGUCGUAGGCUUAAUUUUGUGAAAUUUAUUGUAUCUUCUAAUUAGGAUGAUUUGGAAAAACUGAGGUGAGAACACUCAAAACAGUUUUACAUUAGGAAAAUUUUUGCCUAAGGGAAAGACAGACUUUUCAUUCCAAUCCAGAGUCAUUUCUGUGGCCUUACCAUUGUGAGAUAGUCUCAUUUCUAUACAGAAAAAUAGCAUUGAUUAAAAAAUAAUUGCACCUGGAAGUUUGGAGUAUUUACUCUGGCCCCCAAAUCAUAUUAAUUUGCAUGUAUUACUUAAUCUAAACCUGGAAUAGCAGGUGGGGAUGAAUUUCUGGGAUUGAUUUAAGAAUACAUGAAUAUGGGAAUUCCAGGUGUGGCUCAGUGAAUUAAGGACCUGAUGUCUCUGUGAGGAUGAGGGUUUGAUGGCUGGCCUCGCUCAGUAAGUUUAGGAUCUGGUGUGGCCAUAUGCUGCAGGUGAGGCUGUAAAAGGAAAAAAAAAAAAGAAUAAAUGAAUAUAUAUCAAGCAUAAUGUUUGACACCCAAGGUGUGUUUAGUAGACAUGCUUCUUUGGAUUUCUUCUUUUUUUUUUUUCUCCAUUGCUGCGAUUUGUUGAGAUUUAUUUUGGCUUUUAAAACAUCACUGAUAAAUACAUGAUGCUCUUAAAUUUAUGUAUGUCUUUGAUUAUCCUCACUGCUCCAUUUCAUUUUAAAAAGUAAUAUUAUUUAUAUCUUCUAGGAUUUGAAACCCAUUUUACAUUGAAACAAUAUCCAGUCUCUCUAGACACUAUAUAUUCAUAAUUCAAUAAUACUUUUAUAAUUCAGAUAAAAUCCAUCUAUGUCAAGAAUUAGCAAAUCUCUACUCCUACCUCCACCUUGCUCGGGAAAACUCUCUAGGUUGUAGUCCUAUCCAUUUGUAUAUUUAAUUUUCAUGUUGAAUUCAGACAUCUAUUACACAUGCAAUGUACAUGUGACAUUUGGGGUCCUAUUAAUUUCAAUUGAAAUGGAGGAAACAUUUCCUAUCCUUAAGCCAGGACUGACUAUGCCUAGAUCAGAUGAUAACUGUGUUAUCCCUUCAACAAAUAUCUCUGGUUUUUUGUGUCUUCAAAGAUCUCUCAAUAUAAGUAUGGAGAAAAAGGCAUAUUUUGGCCCUGGGGCCAUGAGUAAAGAUAAAAGGAGGGAGAAAACAAGAUUGAUAAGCAAAGAAAAGUUACAAAGGAAAGCCAACACGAUCCACUGAAUAGCGUGCUUGAGCUUCAACUGAAGGAUAGGAGACUUACAAUUUUUUUUUCUUCCGAUCCUAUUUACUCACAUAGGAUGCUGCUGCUGCUGCCAGCUGGAAGCAGAGGUACUGAUAACCAUGGUGAUCAUAGGAACAUCAUGUGCCCUUUAUCAUGCAUCCACACUCUUUGUACUAUACUUUCUGUUCAGUGCUUCACACCAAUGAUGGCAUUUAAUUUUAUAGAGUAGGUGCUGUAUUGUGAUACCAGUUUUACAGAUUAAAGAAACUGAAGGAGUUGGAGAGACAUCAAAUAACUUGUGGAAGUCACAUAGCUAGUAAUACAUGGAACCAAGUUGCAAACCCAUUACUUAGACUUGGGGGUCGUUCCAUUAUAUCAAAAUGUCCGCUAAACCUUUUGUUUUAGUCAUCUAGAAUGCACUGCAGUCCUAAUCUUCCUGUAUUUUUAAUUAAAAGCUCUUUGUAAUAGUAACAUUAAAAACUUUUUGAGUAAAAGUGUAAAGCUCUUCCUCUCAUCCUCUGAAGGGUAUUUAUUUAUCUUUUCUUUGCUUGCAUAUGUAUUUUAUCACAGCCAAAGUCCCAGUGGAGAUGGAGGUUUGUGCAUGUCUUCCCUGCAAUCAUGAUUCCCUUCCUCUGUGACCAUCUUCUCUGUGGGAUACCAGGCCUUCUCUAGCUCGUGCUACUGUAAACUGAUGCAUCUGGCUUAGGCUUCUAGAUAUAUCAGGAUGUUGUUUUCCAAUAAAAAAAAAAAAAAGGAAGAUAAAUUCAGAAUUUGGGUGAGUUUGGUUAGUCAUUAUUUGGUGGUAUCAUGAGUUUAGGGAAAGGCAGCAAUAAAGAGUUUGAUUUUAGAAGGUUAAGUCUGAGGCACCUACGUAGCAAAGAAAUGCUAUUUGGGUUGGGGACAUUGGAAGAGGAAUAAUUCUUGGUCCUGAGCUGUGUCUUAUGCUGGAUGUUCUCUCUCACACAGAGCCUGUGGCUGUGCUUAGCUUAUGGUAAGCACUCAAAGCUUACUGUGUAUGGGUGUGGUUGACUAUAAAUGCAAUGGGCUGGACUUCCCGUUGUGGCACAGUGGAAACGAAUCCGACUGGGAACCAUGAGGUUGUGGGUUCGAUCCCUGGCCUCACUCAGUAGGUUAAGGAUCCGGCCUUGCCAGGAGCUGUGGUGUAGGCCGCAGACAUGACUCGGGUCUGGCAUUGCUGUGGCUGUGGUGUAGGCUGGCAGCUGAGCUCUGAUUAGACCCCUAGCCUGGGUAAAAAGACAAGACAAAUAAAUAAAUAAAUAAAUACAAUGGACUAGUAAACAUUUCAGUAGCUUUAAAGAUUCUUUAAAUUCGUAGUUGACUGUGAAGACUAAAUUGCUUUGUUCUGUUAGAUUUAAAUAGGGUAGGAAACACACAAAUCAUUUAAAACAAGAAAGAAAGAUUUCAUGAUAUCUGUUCUCCUGCUUAUAUAACCAUAACUCAUAUCUGUUAGGGAUUCCUAUUCGUAGAAAUAAAUCACAGUCAAGUUUUUAGACCAGCCUUGGUACAUAUUCUAAUUUUCUGCUUCCUUCUGUGAAUUGUGAUAUUAUGUGACAUGACUGGAGAGUCUAGGAUGGUUUUUGUUUUGGGUUUUGAGAGUAUUAUUGUAUUCAUAUGUGUCUGAUCUUGUACCUUGGCUUUUAUAAUAGGAAAUAUGAUAAUGACAAUCAG
rnacentral:lncRNA from 1 species